ensembl:lncRNA
AUGGAUAUCUUAGAUGGCAUUGGGGUUGGGACCAACAUGGUUGAAUAUUUAAACCAUGAGAUGACUGGAGCAUUGCUGCACAUUCUAUGCCUCAGUGAUGAGACAAGGGGGACAUCACAGACCUUUGCCAUUAUUCCAGGCCACGCCAUUGAGACUGUGUCUUUGUUGGAGGCGGUUGAUCUUUGCUUUAAAGCUUUUUUUGUUUUUGAUGUUCAGUACACCAAGCAGUGUCUCCCCACCUGGGAGUUUCUCCAGCAUGCUGUAUAUCAAAUUGAAGGAAAAGAGUCCUCCUCUGUAAAGUUUUUGAGGACAACAGUGGUUUCAGGCCCACAUGAUAUGUAGAUGAUUUUAAAAUGUAUUUUGUUGCUGUUCUUAAAUCAACACAUCUUAAUAAAUUAAAUUGUAAUCGUAUGAGAGUUCAAAUUAGUUGUUUAAUGACUUUUAAAGCCUGAAUAUUUGGACAGAUUUACAUUUGUUAUAAAGUCUGUGGGGAAGGGUGAAUGUCAGAGGGUGUGUGGGUGGGGGUUGGGAUGGGGGGGUAAAGAAUGUAUUCAAUAUUGUAUACAAACAAAGUAUUAAAGAAAUGUAUUGUUUUUAAAGAAAUAAUAUGUUUUAAAUUAAAUAAGAUUGAAAUCACAUAUACAUGGCCUCUCUGGUUUAUUGUAUUAAAGAGACAAUAAUUAUUUUACAUUCGUAAUAUAAAAUAUAUUUGUAACUAAUGUAUAAAGGCAGUGAGACAGGAAAUAAUCUAUUUAUUAUUAAAUAAUAACUAUUUAUUUGACUAAACUAUUUGUUUGACUUAAUCCAGCAAGAGGGUUAAUUUUACCCACUGGUUGGGUCAAAUGAAUGACCCAGUAAUAUGGGUUAAACGGUAAAACCCAGCACUUGGGUCAAACCAACCCAGCGCGUGUUCUGUCCAAUAGUGACCCAGCAGCGUGGUUAAGGUUGGGUUAUUUUUUAACCCAGCAGUUUUUAGAGUGUACUGUUUACUUUGUCAUUAAAUAUGGAAAAUUCUUUAUUCACAAAUGGGCAGUGAAAAAAAAAUAAUUUUACUCAUUUUAAAAUAGAAAUAGGUCGCUACCUGUAUACAUUAAAAGAAACAAGAAAAAAACUAAGCAAAAGUAUUUGUUUUGAUUCAGUUUAAAUGUUAUUGCCCGUAUAGACCCCUUAAUCGCCUACGUCACUGUGACGUCACCGCUCUAGCUGGAGGCAAAACAUAAGGAAGAACUCAUAGCAGGCGCGCUAAAAGUUUGAGGUUUUGACUUUAAAAUGUCGUCUUGUUGUGUUUUUGGCUGCCAGAAUAGAAGGAACAGCACUUUUGGUUCAAAACUAAAGUUUCACCGGAUCCCGGCCGACAUUCCUUCACAGAAAUCAAGAAGACAAUUGUGGUUGAAUGCAAUACGGCGUACAGACUAGACAGAGACGAUCAUAAAUAAUGCUCGUGUUUGCAGUGCACACUUCAUAUUAGGUAAAAUAAUCUAUGCAUAUGUACUGGUGUGUUGGUUUUAUCUAGUACAAAUCAGCAAGUUUAUGUUUUAUAGGUGAAAAGUCGCCAACCUUCAGCGCACUAGCUAGCUUAAAUGUUAAACAAACAUACAGCGAUAGAUGUGUGUGCCAUCCUUUGAAUGGUCUCUUAAAAUAAUCCACAUUGCUAAUCAUAGUUAGCCCAGCGAUAGGUUACAUUAGACAAUAAGCCUUGACAAAAUUCCCCAAACCACCCGAAAGUAAUUCAUAUGUUGUCUAGGAAAUAUCCAAAACCUGGUUAAAAUGUUUCCAAUGAGAACAAGAUACAAGAACUACACCAGGCUUAGCUAAAAAUAAAUAAAUAAAUAAAUUAGGCUACUGUAAUGUUAUCCACUUGUCAUUAUAUUUUGGUCAGAUAACCAGUUUGGUCAGUGAACUGAGUGAUCAACUGAAUUAAUUGAUAAAUGUAUGCUAACUCCCACUUUUUUUAUUAUAAUUUUUUUUGUCACGGUCCCGCAGAGUCAGUGACUGUACAUAUUCGGACAGUUCCGAACAGAGUCGGCGUCAGAGCAGAUCGACUGGAGGGGCAUUGGAUCAUCGGCGGGGGGGCACUGUCGUUGAUAAAUAUUUUUUGACGCAUUGGCAACAUCAUAGUAGCAUGGAAAUCCAGACCUAAAUCUGAAAGAUCUAUAUAGAAUGACAAUGAACGAUUUAGACUUGGGUUUUUAUCUAAAAGAGGAACAGAAGACAGCGCUGAAAUUUGCUGUUUUGCCGACCGGAUACGGCAAGAGUCAGUUAGCUCCAAUGAUCUAUCUAUAUAGAAUGUCAUUAUAUAAUUUUUUUUUUUUUUUUAUACCUGUCUUGAUUCCUAAUACUGAACUAGGCUAUACUAACCUUAUAUGGAAUCAUAUUCUGAACGUUUAACCUAACAAUCGUCAUCUGUUGUGAUGACGAUUGUUAGGUUAAACGUUCAGAAUAUGAUUCCAUAUAAGGUUAGUAUAGCCUAGUUCAGCACUUUGCGAAUGGACAGCGACUCAAGUAGCACGUAUUCUCGCGUUCUACGAGUUCAGUAGCCUACAUUUUUGGGAAAAUGUAUAUUUUUGGGAAACGCGCGAGGAAUUGCGGUUAACGUUCAUAAACUUGCACGUAGAGAGCGCUUUUAAGAGCUAAGAUAGGCUAGGCUACAUCGUUAUCGGGAAACCCGGCCCAGAACAGAUAGCCUAAACAACAGAACAGGACAGAAAAUAAUAAUAUAAAUAUAAUAUAGGCUAAAUAAUAAUAAAUAAAAAAAAAACAUAAAAUAGCCCUACAAUAAAUAGCUAUAUAUUUUUUAUACUUAAAUAAUUAACAAAUUACUGACUGACAAAAAAAUAAAACACUGAAUCAGUUUGAAGCUUUGAAAAACCGGCAAAAAAAAAAUCAGACAAAGUUUUUUCGUAUAGAUGUUUCUGAAAACUUAAGGCUUUUUUCUUCAUAAAACGAGUUGGACAUCAUCACACAAAUGUCUGCGUAUGGACCAGUUAAAUCAGAAGACUAAAAUUCGCCUUCAGAGAAUAAGGAUGUCACAACAAUAAUGAGCCACUCACACAAGGUAUAAGGUUUAACUGAUUUUUUAGUUUUUGAUUUGCGUAGAAUGCAAAUUUUUGUAGAACUUGAGAA